rnacentral:lncRNA from 1 species
GUUAUUCUAGGUGAUUUCUCCGAAACUCCUGAAAAGGUAUUCUUCUUAAACUGGCCUAUCACAUAACGGAUGCUGUAACAUCAUCAAAACUGAGUGGGGCAAGGUAAAUAGAAAACUCUACCCUUUUGAGGCAAUGAAGCAGGAGUAUCCCUGUAGUCCGAUGCAUUAUCAAGAACAUAAGGAAGAUCUAGCAAUCCCAAGAAAGAUACAAUCUGAGGAUUACAGGGAGAACCUACAGAAGGUGAGAAAAUUUUAUUCUAUAUACUUCAAGUAAUAAUUUCACAUAUUAAAGUCAAACUGAAGCCCUCAAGACAAGAGAAUUGCAUAUAGAACUCAUCUCAACCAAUAUUGUGGGUAAAAAACAGGAUAAUUAAAUUAUUUUUUUCUCUAAUAAGUCAUUAAGAAAUCAUGCCAUCAAACUUAAAUUUCAUAUUUUACAUAGAAUAAGGCUCGUAAUCCGCACAAGGGAUUACCGAUG